GAUAAAUGGAUGGUUGUUCUUGCUAACUUGAAAGAACUCGGAAGUCAACGAGGAGCACGUCACGUUUAAUGGAAUGAAAGGCCUUCCUGCUCAGUUGGGAGAACAACUACAGCAAAGAAGACAUGCCUGUCAUGGCUUAAAUGGCAUCUGCAGUCACAGAAGAUGGGACACAGAGAGCUGCAACAUAUGGAGAGAGUGCCAUUCAACAGUGAGCCCACCCAACAGGACAGUUUGUAUAGGUUGGAUCACAGCUUAUUGAAGCAG